AUUAUCAACAAACCCCAAUAGUGGAAAAUAGGCUUAAAAGACGUGGUCCUACAGGGCUAGCUGACAUAUGGGCAUUGGAUGGUGAGUACAAAAUCCCGUUGCUGUUAAAUGAUCAAGGCCAACUGAUUGGUCUGGACGGUGGCAUGUUCGUUCGGUGGUUGGGAACUUUUUGCGAGAAUGGCUUAUUAUGCUUGCUGGGUGGCCAAGCGUCCUUGAAAAAUUUAAACAGGAUUGUUGGAUUGAGAUUGAGAAACAGUAUCUAAUUGACCCCAAUAUUGUCGCACCACCCGAUCAAAUGGAAUGGGCAAUGCAUCAACUUGGGGUCCUGAGGAGAAAUUAGAGGACAAAGUUGAAGAAGGAUCACUAUAAACGUGGGAUGACAAAGGAACAAGUAUUGGCCAACAAACCGUCGAUGGUUGACAAAGUGCAGUGGACGGAGAUGGUUAACUAUUGGUUUUUGGACAAAACUGUGACAUUAAGUAACAAGAACAAGGUGAGUUGAGGUAAAUAGAAGGAGAUAGCAAGGUCUGGGCCCAAAAGUUUUGCACAAAUUUCUGAUGACAUGGUAAGAAAUGCAUUACAAGUGCUACUGUAUUCGUGUAUCACAUAAGCUAAUUUUAUGCUUCUGAAUCACACUAAAUGUUGAAAAUACUCUUUUACUUUCUUGUUGGUGGUAGAUAUAAAUUAAAAUUCAU